rnacentral:rRNA from 1 species
UACGGGGAGGCAGCAUGGGGAAUAUUGCACAAUGGGGGAAACCCUGAUGCAGCCAUGCCGCGUGUGUGAAGAAGGCCUCGGGUUGUAAAGCACUUUCAGUAGGGAGGAAGGUAGUGUAGUUAACACCUGCAUUAUUUGACGUUACCUACAGAAGAAGCACCGGCUAACUCCGUGCCAGCAGCCGCGGUAAUACGGAGGGUGCGAGCGUUAAUCGGAAUUACUGGGCGUAAAGCGCAUGCAGGCGGCCUGUUAAGUCAGAUGUGAAAGCCCGGGGCUUAACCUCGGAAUUGCAUUUGAAACUGGCAGGCUAGAGUCUUGUAGAGGGGGGUAGGAAUUUCAGGUGUAGCGGUGAAAUGCGUAGAGAUCUGAAGGAAUACCAGUGGCGAAGGCGGCCCCCCUGGACAAAGACUGACGCUCAGAUGCGAAAGCGUGGGGAGCAAACAGGAUUAGAUACCCUGGUAG